rnacentral:rRNA from 1 species
AGCGAACGCUGGCGGCAGGCCUAACACAUGCAAGUCGAACGAACCUUUCGGGGUUAGUGGCGGACGGGUGAGUAACACGUGGGAACGUGCCUUUAGGUUCGGAAUAACUCAGGGAAACUUGUGCUAAUACCGAAUGUGCCCUUCGGGGGAAAGAUUUAUCGCCUUUAGAGCGGCCCGCGUCUGAUUAGCUAGUUGGUUGAGGUAAUGGCUCACCAAGGCGACGAUCAGUAGCUGGUCUGAGAGGAUGAUCAGCCACAUUGGGACUGAGACACGGCCCAAACUCCUACGGGAGGCAGCAGUGGGGAAUCAUGCGCAAUGGGCGAAAGCCUGACGCAGCCAUGCCGCGUGAAUGAUGAAGGUCUUAGGAUUGUAAAAUUCUUUCACCGGGGACGAUAAUGACGGUACCCGGAGAAGAAGCCCCGGCUAACUUCGUG